CUUUAGUCCAGGCAUGGGUCUAUAAAUGGUCCUAAUUCACCAGUGCCUACAGAGGUGGAUUGUCAUCAGGCACACAAAAGGGCCUGGGCAGCAAGACCACGAGAAGAUGGUCAUUUUAUAAAGCAAAGGCAUGGAGAAGUGAGGCCUCUGGACUUCAGGCAAAUGGGAGAUACCACGAGCUCUGCUGCCAGAAUUAACGCCAUCCCACGUAAGGGAAGUCUUGCAUGGAGUGUGCUCAGGAUUUGGGCAGGCAUACUAUCUUAGGAAAGGACAGAAAUAGUGUUCCUUUAAAGUCGGUCUACAGUGCUUCCUCACAUACUCAUUUUUUUCCU
ensembl:lncRNA